AUACGUAGGGUGCGAGCGUUGUCCGGAAUUACUGGGCGUAAAGAGCUCGUAGGUGGUUUGUCGCGUCGUCUGUGAAAUUCCGGGGCUUAACUCCGGGCGUGCAGGCGAUACGGGCAUAACUUGAGUACUGUAGGGGAGACUGGAAUUCCUGGUGUAGCGGUGAAAUGCGCAGAUAUCAGGAGGAACACCGGUGGCGAAGGCGGGUCUCUGGGCAGUAACUGACGCUUAGGAGCGAAAGCAUGGGUAGCGAACAGGAUUAGGUACCCUGGUAGUCCAUGCCGUAAACGGUGGGCGCUAGGUGUAGGGGUCUUCCACGACUUCUGUGCCGUAGCUAACGCAUUAAGCGCCCCGCCUGGGGAGUACGGCCGCAAGGCUAAAACUCAAAUGAAUUGACGGGG
rnacentral:rRNA from 1 species